CAGUAGCCGCGGGAAUACGAGGGGGGCAAGCGUUGUUCGGAAUUAUUGGGCGUAAAGGGUGCGUAGGCGGUUUGGCAAGUCUUGUGUGAAAUCUUCGGGCUCAACCCGAAGCCUGCACGAGAAACUGCCGGGCUUGAGUAUUGGAGAGGUGAGUGGAAUUUCCGGUGUAGCGGUGAAAUGCGUAGAUAUCGGAAGGAACACCUGUGGCGAAAGCGGCUCACUGGACAAUAACUGACGCUGAUGCACGAAAGCUAGGGGAGCAAACAAGAUUAGAUACCCCUGUAGUCCCUGUCUCUUAUAA
rnacentral:rRNA from 1 species